AACUCGAACACUCAAGAAAUCCGUUGGACAGGCGGAUUCACAUCUCUUACAACCGACACAGUCCUCUGUUCUUGGAGCAGAAGCAAUUUGCUUGGAUUUACAUCCAUCCCAAGGUAUCAUUUCUAAUACAUCUGUGGGGCAGGCUCGGACACAUUGAGUACACCCUAUACAUGUAUCAUAAAUCUUUACUGAAUGUGACAUUAGAUUUCUAAUUUUUUUAACGUCAUAAAGUUUCAAUCUAGUAAAUUUCUAAAUGAAUCAUCAUAUAUUUAGACACCAGACGAAUCAAUGAUUUACCAGAAAUUUUCUAUUCAAUUCUGGAUCGACUCAUGAGAAAAAACC
rnacentral:misc_RNA from 1 species